rnacentral:rRNA from 1 species
UACGAACCGUGCGAACGUUGUUCGGAAUCACUGGGCUUAAAGGGCGCGUAGGCGGUCGGCCAAGUCAGAGGUGAAAGCCCACGGCUCAACCGUGGCAGUGCCCCUGAUACUGGUCGUCUGGAGGGAGGUAGGGGCACGCGGAACUUCCGGUGGAGCGGUGAAAUGCGUAGAUAUCGGAAGGAACGCCGGUGGCGAAAGCGGCGUGCUGGACCUCUGCUGACGCUGAGGCGCGAAAGCCAGGGGAGCAAACGGG